rnacentral:rRNA from 1 species
ACGAACGCUGGCGGCAGGCCUCAUACAUGCAAGUCGAACGAUCUAGCAAUAGAGAGUGGCGCACGGGUGCGUAACGCGUGGGAAUAUACCCUUGACUACGGAACAACGUCGGGAAACUGACGCUAAUACCGUAUAAUGACCCCAGAAGUAGAUUUUGGGAUCCAAAGAUUUAUCGGUCAAGGAUUAGCCCGCGUCUGAUUAGCUAGUUGGUGAGGUAAUGGCUCACCAAGGCAACGAUCAGUAGCUGGUCUGAGAGGAUGAUCAGCCACACUGGGACUGAGACACGGCCCAGACUCCUACGGGAGGCAGCAGUAGGGAAUAUUGGACAAUGGGGGCAACCCUGAUCCAGCCAUGCCGCGUGAGUGAAGAAGGCCUUCGGGUUGUAAAACUCUUUUAGAUGUGAAGAUGAUGACGGUAGCAUCAGAAAAAGCUCCGGCUAACUUCGU